rnacentral:rRNA from 1 species
GAUGAACGCUAGCGGCAGGCUUAAUACAUGCAAGUCGAGGGGCAGCAGGGGUGUAGCAAUACACUCGCUGGCGACCGGCAAACGGGUGCGGAACACGUACGCAAUCUACCCAUAACUGGGGAAUAGCCCGGGGAAACCCGGAUUAAUACCUCGUAACCUUUUGAAGUGGCAUCACUUUAUUAGUAUAGCUCCGGCGGUUA